GAGGGGGCUCAGUGGUAGAGUGCUCGCCUAGCAUGUGCGAGGCCCUGGGUUCAAUCCUUAGCACCACA
rnacentral:tRNA from 1 species